ensembl:lncRNA novel transcript
CCCAGUCCAGCCUCCCUACUCAGGGCCGAGGGCACCAGGAGGAUGGUCGUUGCAAAAGAAUAUGGGAGGCCGGGUGCGGCGGCUCACGCCUGUAAUCCCAGUACUUCUGGGAGGCCAAGGGGGGCGGAUGACUUGAGGCCGUGCAACACCUGCCAGCACCAGCAUUUGACACGGAAUCGAAGAAAACAGGCAGGACAUACCCUGACUACACUAGUACAAGUCAUCGGCGUCUCGGGGUCCUGGGUUUUAGAAAUCACACUGUCAGGGAGGGCUGAUGGGGUCCUGGGUUGGAGGCUGGAAGUGGAGGAAUCGAGGCAUAGGCAGAAACUUGAAGGAAGGGUCAGCCGAGCUGGCCAGAAGGGGGCUCCUCGCCACGGUCCCCAGGGAAGCACUUUGCUCAUGGGCCCCGGCCCUGAGAGAGGAGCUCCUGCCUCUUCCCACUCGGAGAGGGCUGACAGGAGAGGCUUGGCCUGGUGUUUCCUGAUGAGAUAGCGGGCACGUUCCGGGAAGCGGUGAGCAGGCCCAGCAGACAUCAGAUGUGGUGCUUCCUGUCUCCUGUGAAUGCGCCUGGCCCUUGAGGGGGGUCUGGGAUGGAGAGUCGGGGGAGGGGAACCCCACUCGCCCUUCUCCUUGUUGUUCUUGGCAGCUGGACUUGGGCAAUUGUGCCUCCACCCUCUGGAGGGGCCUCCCCCUGUGCUGGCUGCAGAUCAGAGGGGCGAUGGGGAGGGAUCCACCGGUCCAGGCGGGGGCUCACCUUCCAGACCCGGGCGUGGGCGAGAGGGGUGCAUGGGAGGACGCCCGAUGCCUCAGGGCCCCCGGUCAGCAGCGAGGCACAGACUCUCCUCUGGGCGGUGAUGGCCCUGCACGAGGUCCGUGUGCCGUCUGCCUGCACAGGGAGAGGAAAGGAUCACGCGACCAUGGGUACGUUGGCCACCUGAAGGUUGAGUCCCGCAGCCUAGAGACUGGAGCGUGGGGACCAGGAGGAGCUUCUUAGCGGAACUGGGCUGGGGCUCAUGCAGCCCUCCAGGAGCCCCCGACGCGACGCCCUGGCUCAUCCCGGGUGAAGAGGCUGCUGAGUCUGAACUGAUGACAGUGGACGGGUGGCCGCCGGUUCCCAACGCAUGGUUGGGCCUGGAACCCAGGUGACUCUGGGAGAUGUGGUCACAGUCACAGCCGUCUGUGGGCCUUUGGGUUCAAAACAGCGCGAGUCACAGGAGACAGAAGGGAAUCUGAGCUUGCGAUUGCUCAUUCUUGUCACCCUCCUGGCUCUGGGACACCUCUGCCAUCUCCUACCAAGGGUACCCCAUUCCUGGCGAGUUGGAAAGUGGCCUCAUGGGCAGAAAACGAGGGCAAAGGGAGCUGCGUGCUGUGAGAGACGUCCCCGCACCCACCCUCCCCACCAGCUCCCUUGGGCCUUUCCUCCCUCCCAGCCCCACCCACAGCCGGGUGGCUCCCUUCACUGUCUCUCCUGGGUUUAACUCAGAGGCUGGCGAGCAGGGGCUGACCAGUGUGUGUCGGAGACUCUCCGAGUGGCCAGCACGGGCAGGGAGCUCAUAGGCUUGGCCCUGAGACCAGGUCCUGUCUGAGAAGGAGGCAGGUCCUGUCUGAGAAGAAGGACCCCCACCCCUCCUGCCUGGGACCCUGCCUUAGGCUCACUCUAAUGACCUAAUUUCAAUUUGAUUGAAUGCAAAUCUGAAUUUGCUAGAAGACCUGAUUUCAUCUUUCCGGGUUCAGUAAACAUGACAUUCUCCGUGGGGGUUUAUUUGUGGAACUCCCAGUCAGAGCUGCUGCCCCAGCCCAGCAGGGCUCAGCGACGUGCACUGGUUUUAGGAGUAAAUCCGAAGCAACAGAAGCGUUCGCACUGGCUCUGGGUGCAGCCUGCAUCUUCAGCCCUGGGGCACUGAUGCUGGGCAGCUUCUCGGCUUCACUCGGGAAGGGACUCAGGAGCGAGGUGGUGGGGAAGCCAGCAGCUUGGCUGAGGCGGCAGUGGAGGUGGUCCAGCUCCGCGACUGCUCCCACAGAGCAGGGCUGCCGCUCGGGCAGUGUGCAGAGUGCAGCCGCUUGGGGCCAACUUGCCAUCAUAUGUAUAACCACUUUUAAUGACAUGCUAAUUAGGGGGCGGGUUAUUCAGAUAUAGCUGGAGGAUGGGCAGUUGCUUCCAGGUGUUGCCAAGGCAGUGAGAGCAACGGGAACUGCCCUUGGCGCCUCUUCCAGCUUUGGCCUGUCUUUGGUCGGGUCCGGGGACCAGGCUUGCCUACCACGUUUUCUGUGUCAAAACAGUCACGCAGAAAUAAACAGUGACAGCACUGUGAUGAGAAAAGCGAAGAAACAACUUAUUUCAACUUUCUGACUUUUGUUGUGGCCUCAGCACUUUUGUUUGUGCUUAACAUUGAAAACAGUGAGGCAGUGUAAACUGUGAGAUGUGAUUUUUCAUUUGGUAAGUGCAAAUUUUAGUUCAUUCAUGAAACCAGUUUUGAAGAUCUUUAAAAUAGAAUUUAGUCGACCUUAAGAAUUGUUAAUUGUUUACAACUAAAGACCAAAAAUCCAAGAGAAUAAAGCGUUGCACCAGUGGUAGGGGUUUGUAGUUGCCUAAAUUGUACCUUUUACAGAUGUUUCAUUUUAUUAAAACUCACUAGUCACUGGAUCUUCUAUUCAA